rnacentral:rRNA from 1 species
UACGGAGGGUGCGAGCGUUGUCCGGAAUCAUUGGGCGUAAAGGGCGCGUAGGUGGCCCGGUCAGUCUUUGGUGAAAGCGCGGGGCUCAACCCUGCGUCGGCCAGGGAUACUGCCGCGGCUCGAGCACUGUAGAGGCAGGCGGAAUUCCGGGUGUAGCGGUGGAAUGCGUAGAGAUCCGGAAGAACACCGGUGGCGAAGGCGGUCUGCUGGGGUAAUGCUGACACUGAUGCGCGACAGCGUGGGGAGCAAACAGG